UUUGACAUCUAGGGUGAUGCAGGUAUAUCUGUCACAUGUGUGUCAGUAGGUGGCAGAAAAGAGUGAGGCUAUAUCUGUGCUCAGUGUUCUAAUCUAUGAAUAUCUGAAGAAUUAGUAGUCUGACAUU